rnacentral:rRNA from 2 species
CACUAUCGUUAACUGAAUACAUAGGUUAACGAGGCGAACCGGGGGAACUGAAACAUCUAAGUACCCCGAGGAAAAGAAAUCAACCGAGAUUCCCCCAGUAGCGGCGAGCGAACGGGGAGCAGCCCAGAGUCUGAAUCAGCUUGUGUGUUAGUGGAACGGUCUGGAAAGUCCGACGGUACAGGGUGAUAGUCCCGUACACCAAAAUGCACAGGUUGUGAACUCGAAGAGUAGGGCGGGACACGUGGUAUCCUGUCUGAAUAUGGGGGGACCAUCCUCCAAGGCUAAAUACUCCUGACUGACCGAUAGUGAACCAGUACCGUGAGGGAAAGGCGAAAAGAACCCCGGCGAGGGGAGUGAAAAAGAACCUGAAACCGUGUACGUACAAGCAGUGGGAGCACCUUCGGGUGUGACUGCGUACCUUUUGUAUAAUGGGUCAGCGACUUAUAUUCUGUAGCAAGGUUAACCGUAUAGGGGAGCCGCAGGGAAACCGAGUCUUAACUGGGCGUUAAGUUGCAGGGUAUAGACCCGAAACCCGGUGAUCUAGCCAUGGGCAGGUUGAAGGUUGGGUAACACUAACUGGAGGACCGAACCGACUAAUGUUGAAAAAUUAGCGGAUGACUUGUGGCUGGGGGUGAAAGGCCAAUCAAACCGGGAGAUAGCUGGUUCUCCCCGAAAGCUAUUUAGGUAGCGCCUCGUGAAUUCAUCUUCGGGGGUAGAGCACUGUUUCGGCUAGGGGGUCAUCCCGACUUACCAACCCGAUGCAAACUACGAAUACCGAAGAAUGUUAUCACGGGAGACACACGGCGGGUGCUAACGUCCGUCGUGAAGAGGGAAACAACCCAGACCGCCAGCUAAGGUCCCAAAGUCAUGGUUAAGUGGGAAACGAUGUGGGAAGGCACAGACAGCCAGGAUGUUGGCUUAGAAGCAGCCAUCAUUUAAAGAAAGCGUAAUAGCUCACUGGUCGAGUCGGCCUGCGCGGAAGAUGUAACGGGGCUAAACCAUGCACCGAAGCUGCGGCAGCGACACUAUGUGUUGUUGGGUAGGGGAGCGUUCUGUAAGCCUGCGAAGGUGUGCUGUGAGGCAUGCUGGAGGUAUCAGAAGUGCGAAUGCUGACAUAAGUAACGAUAAAGCGGGUGAAAAGCCCGCUCGCCGGAAGACCAAGGGUUCCUGUCCAACGUUAAUCGGGGCAGGGUGAGUCGACCCCUAAGGCGAGGCCGAAAGGCGUAGUCGAUGGGAAACAGGUUAAUAUUCCUGUACUUGGUGUUACUGCGAAGGGGGGACGGAGAAGGCUAUGUUAGCCGGGCGACGGUUGUCCCGGUUUAAGCAUGUAGGCUGGUUGUCCAGGCAAAUCCGGAUAAUCAAGGCUGAGGUGUGAUGACGAGGCACUACGGUGCUGAAGUAACAAAUGCCCUGCUUCCAGGAAAAGCCUCUAAGCAUCAGGUAACAUCAAAUCGUACCCCAAACCGACACAGGUGGUCAGGUAGAGAAUACCAAGGCGCUUGAGAGAACUCGGGUGAAGGAACUAGGCAAAAUGGUGCCGUAACUUCGGGAGAAGGCACGCUGGUGUGUAGGUGAAGUCCCUGCGGAUGGAGCUGAGACCAGUCGAAGAUACCAGCUGGCUGCAACUGUUUAUUAAAAACACAGCACUGUGCAAACACGAAAGUGGACGUAUACGGUGUGACGCCUGCCCGGUGCCGGAAGGUUAAUUGAUGGGGUUAUCCGUAAGGAGAAGCUCUUGAUCGAAGCCCCGGUAAACGGCGGCCGUAACUAUAACGGUCCUAAGGUAGCGAAAUUCCUUGUCGGGUAAGUUCCGACCUGCACGAAUGGCGUAAUGAUGGCCAGGCUGUCUCCACCCGAGACUCAGUGAAAUUGAACUCGCUGUGAAGAUGCAGUGUACCCGCGGCAAGACGGAAAGACCCCGUGAACCUUUACUAUAGCUUGACACUGAACAUUGAGCCUUGAUGUGUAGGAUAGGUGGGAGGCUUUGAAGCGUGGACGCCAGUCUGCGUGGAGCCAACCUUGAAAUACCACCCUUUAAUGUUUGAUGUUCUAACGUUGGCCCCUGACCGGGGUUGCGGACAGUGUCUGGUGGGUAGUUUGACUGGGGCGGUCUCCUCCCAAAGCGUAACGGAGGAGCACGAAGGUUAGCUAAUCCUGGUCGGACAUCAGGAGGUUAGUGCAAUGGCAUAAGCUAGCUUGACUGCGAGCGUGACGGCGCGAGCAGGUGCGAAAGCAGGUCAUAGUGAUCCGGUGGUUCUGAAUGGAAGGGCCAUCGCUCAACGGAUAAAAGGUACUCCGGGGAUAACAGGCUGAUACCGCCCAAGAGUUCAUAUCGACGGCGGUGUUUGGCACCUCGAUGUCGGCUCAUCACAUCCUGGGGCUGAAGUAGGUCCCAAGGGUAUGGCUGUUCGCCAUUUAAAGUGGUACGCGAGCUGGGUUUAGAACGUCGUGAGACAGUUCGGUCCCUAUCUGCCGUGGGCGCUGGAGAAUUGAGGGGGGCUGCUCCUAGUACGAGAGGACCGGAGUGGACGCAUCACUGGUGUUCGGGUUGUCAUGCCAAUGGCACUGCCCGGUAGCUAAAUGCGGAAGAGAUAAGUGCUGAAAGCAUCUAAGCACGAAACUUGCCCCGAGAUGAGUUCUCCCUGAGACUUUAAGUCUCCUGAAGGAACGUUGAAGACGACGACGUUGAUAGGCCGGGUGUGUAAGCGCAGCGAUGCGUUGAGCUAACCGGUACUAAUGAACCGUGAGGCUUAACCUU